rfam:Triticum aestivum genome assembly, contig: Triticum_aestivum_CS42_TGACv1_scaffold_526518_6DL
AAAAUACUACCUCCGUCCCAAAAUUCUUGUCUUAGAUUUGUCUAGACAUGGAUGUAUCUAAUACUAAAACAUGACGAUACAUUCGUAUUUAGAAAAAUCUAAGACAAGAAUUUUGGGACAGAGGGAGUAUAUG